rnacentral:rRNA from 1 species
CAGUAGCCGCGGUAAUACGUAGGUGGCAAGCGUUGUCCGGAAUUAUUGGGCGUAAAGGGCUCGCAGGCGGUUUCUUAAGUCUGAUGUGAAAGCCCCCGGCUCAACCGUGGAGGGUCAUUGGAAACUGGGAAACUUGAGUGCAGAAGAGGAGAGUGGAAUUCCACGUGUAGCGGUGAAAUGCGUAGAGAUGUGGAGGAACACCAGUGGCGAAGGCGACUCUCUGGUCUGUAACUGACGCUGAGGAGCGAAAGCGUGGGGAGCGAACAGGAUUAGAUACCCCUGUAGUCCCUGUCUCUUAUAC